CCUACGGGCGGCAGCAGUAGGGAAUCUUUCACAAUGGGCGAAAGCCUGAUGGAGCACCGCCGCGUGCAGGAUGAAGGCCUUCGGGUUGUAAACUGCUUUUAUAAGCGAGAAAUAUGAUGGUAACUUAUGAAUAAGGAUCGGCUAACUACAUGCCAGCAGCCGCGGUCAUACGUAGGAUCCGAGCAUUAUCCGGAGUGACUGGGUGUAAAGAGUUGCGUAGGUGGCAUAAUAAGUAGCUAGUGAAAUCUGGUGGCUCAACCAUUCAGACUAUUAGCUAAACUGUUAAGCUCGAGACCGUUAGGGGUAACUGGAAUUUCUAGUGUAGGAGUGAAAUCCGUAGAUAUUAGAAGGAACACCAAUAGCGUAGGCAGGUUGCUGGGACGGUUCUGACACUAAGGCACGAAAGCGUAGGGAGCAAACGGGAUUAGAUACCCUUGUAGUC
rnacentral:rRNA from 1 species